UCGGGUGGCACGCCGAAUCCUGCCCCACCCGGUGAUUAACAAAACCGCGGGCAGGAGCGGGGGACCCAGGUUUCCCGGACGUUGAACGUCCUUCGGGGUGAAGCCGCCGAGCGCGAUCUGAAAGCGCGGGCGCCGGGCAUUCCCAGCCCGAACCCGACAGCUAACUUCGCAGGCGUGUGGGAAGGACAC
rnacentral:sRNA from 2 species